rnacentral:snRNA from 1 species
UCAGCUUCUUUGCGGAUUUCGGCUCAGACCAAGGGGGUGAAGCAGUUCUUUUCAGCUUGAUCUCUGAAAGUGCCCUAUGGGGUUGCGCCAAAGAUGAGCCAGUUUUUGGAACCCGCCGGUUGGGGGGGGGGGGGGGGGGGGGGGGGCGGCUGGGCUCCGCCUAUCUUCCUGGACACAGUGUCGCUUUUAUUGCACUCCUUGGGGCUGACGCGAAGGUUG